rnacentral:lncRNA from 13 species
CUGGCUUCACGCAGAGGAUGUUAAUUCACCUCUCCUCUGCUUUUGGCCCUGAAUGCCUGUUCCUGCCAAGUGUGCUGUGGGAACGUGUGUUAAAUGUUACUGUCACUUUUAGUACAUGAAAGAUGAUAAAUACUGCGGAGACAAGCUGUGAAGAAUGAAGACAAGAAGCUGAUGUUUGGUGUGAAUGAAAAGGGGGAAGGCUGUGAAAAGUGAAAUCACAUGCUCGGAGCAAAAGGCUAGGAAAGUUUUCUUCACUGUAAUGUUAUGAAUGGAAAUAGGUAGCAAUGUUAUAUUUGACAAAUUUGUAGAAAAUGAUGUUAGUCGAGAGGGGAGAUGGUGAGAGCCUGGAGGAGUGUUUUACGUUAUGAAUGAGAAUAAAAGCGUAUCACUUAUAACUGUAAAGUAAAAAGAUGGAGUAAGGCUCAAUUGGAAAUUCAGCUAAAGGCAGUGCCAAGGCCAUGGACCUGAGGAGCUGCAGAAGAGGUAAGAUAGUGGUAUUUCCAUAGUGACAGAAAAAGGGGAACUUGUCAGAGGGAAAGAUGAAGAGCCCUACACUGACUGUGCCACUCUUAAGCAGAUGGCUGAAGCACGGAGCAGCCCUAGCAGUCCCACGACUGAAAUCAGGCCUAACUCUGGAAAGUUGGUCUCCAAAGAGGGUUCUCUGCAACACUGCCCAAAACAAGAGGAAAAGAAAACAACCAAACCAAAGAAACAGUGUGUGGGAUCCAGUCUGCUGAACCUGAUCACUGAAUUUGUUUUGAAAUGCCAGGUGCACAGUGAAGCAAUCUUGGAGCAAGUGACAAGUUUCCUGCCUUGUCUGUGACAAGAAUUCCUGUGAAGGUCUCCAAGGGAAUCUACUGUCUGCGUAAUGUAGAUGCUCCCCAGCUUCAGAAAUCUGGUCUGACUACAGGCAUUUUCCCCCUUUGCUGCAGAUGAUCAGCCCUAAAAAAGGAGCAACUGGGACAAGCACGGACAAUGGAGGCAUAUGUUCAGCCUCUGUGCUAAAUAAUGGGCGACAUCUUGAGAUGUCCUCUCCUAAGGCUCCAGCAUUACUGUAGUAGAGUCAACAGAAGCUAAUGGGACUUUUGGAGUUACCUGGAUAAUGCAGAGAUCCACAUCAUGCUGCUGUCUAACAGGAAUGUAGACCUUAAUUCCUUUAAAUGUCUUGAGGAAAAUCUUAGCUGUAAUUCUCAUUUUAGAUAGAAGGCAAAAAUGCUCAAACUCAGCCACAGAAAGUGCACAAAUGAAAGUUGCUGGUGGUGUGAUUUUAUAUGUACAUUCUGACUGUAAAAUGGAAAAAAUAGCUUUCUAUUGAUUAAAAUGAAUUCUGCACUGAUUAAAGCAUUUCCCCCUGUGUCAUAUUGUGUUCUCUCAACUGUCUCAUUAGAGGUGGAAAUUUCAGGUGGUCACACAAUGAUUUUGACUCCAAAUUUUGUGGCAAGAUUGGACAUUUUUCAUUGCUUUUCCUUGGCAGCAUCUUACGAUUUGCAUUUAUUUCUUACAGAUUUAGGCUGAAUCACUCAUGUCUAAGAAGCAAGCACUGCAUUAGAACACUUUCUUUUUUUCUGGGGAAAAAAAGAUGUGUUACCUAGAACUUUAAGGGCUGUAACAGGCACAGGCACAAGUUAUUCAUCCUCUUGAAGGUAAGAAACCUAACAGAGGAAAAAAAAAUGCUUCCUUAAAAGAGAAAUUCCUACUGCGUGUUUCUGGUCUUUAUACUUUGAAGUGUUAUUUUAGUUUAAAACAGUAUCAAG